rnacentral:tRNA from 1 species
GCUAUUUUGGCAGAAAAAUGUGAUGAUUUUAGAAAUCGUUAAUAUAUAAUUUAUUAUAUAUAUAGUA